rnacentral:lncRNA from 1 species
GUUAAUGUAAGACAUUUGGCAGCUGUACACUAUUUAGGCUAAAAGAGCCAUCAUUGCUUUUAACUGCUAGCCAAACUAAAGACAGCACGACGAUUGCUAGCUAACACAGCUCUCAGAACAUUCUAGGUCUAACAGCUACGUAAAGCAAUUGUAACGAUCGUCUGGAAGAGGGGACCAAGAUGCAGCGUGGCCGGUGGUACCUGGUCCACUGCAGGACGCUGAGGUGCGGGAGGUCCCUCCGCCCCCCCUGGACAUCGGGGGGGGCCCCGGCGUACACAGUCCGGGCCAUCCUGGACUCCCGACGUCAGGCAGAGCAGGCAACAGAUGGCACACAGACAGCAGAGUUGGGGACAGAUAUGCAGGGACA